CCUACGGGAGGCAGCAGUGGGGAAUAUUGCACAAUGGGGGAAACCCUGAUGCAGCAACGCCGCGUGAGUGAAGAAGUAUUUCGGUAUGUAAAGCUCUAUCAGCAGGGAAGAAAAUAGCGGUUCCUUACUAAGAAACCCCGGCUAACUACGUUCCAGCAGCCUCGGUAAUACGUAGGGGGCCAGCGUUAUCCCGAUUUACUGGGUGUAAAGGGAGCGUAGACGGUUGUGCAAGUCUGAAGUGAAAGCCCGUGGCUUAACCGCGGAACGGCUUUGGAAACUGUGGAACUGGAGUGCUGGAGAGGCAGGCGGAAUUCCUAGUGUAGCGGUGAAAUGCGUAGAUAUUAGGAGGAACACCAGUGGCGAAGGCGGCCUGCUGGACAGUAACUGACGUUGAGGCUCGAAAGCGUGGGGAGCAAACAGGAUUAGAUACCCCUGUAGUC
rnacentral:rRNA from 1 species